CAUCCAGGAUAGAAAGGACCAGCCAGAGCUCGUUCAGUAGUGUAUUUCAGAAUCAUCAGGGAGGAGCCGGUAGCAGAAUUAUCCCGUUAACACUGAGACCACAUUUCACCUGUUACUUAUUUUUCUAAAUGGAGUAGGAGAGAAAGAUGCUAAAAUGUGAUCUUGGGAGGAGUCCCCCAGUCCCCCGAAAAAGAAGAAGAAAAAAAAAAAGCAGAACUCCAAACCCCUGUGGUCAUGGCAAUUUCCCAUCAAAACUGCCCAUGUAAAAUAAACACAAGCUGCUAAAAGUGAAUGUUAAGAAGGAAGGCACUGGUUAGUGGGUGGUCCUGACCAAUCCCCUGGAGCUGGAGAGGGGUUUUCCCACGGCCUUUGGUUUAAUGUGUCUGUAAACUCAACAAACCUCCGUUUCCCUGAGGUAAUCUGCAAAAACAUCAGUUUUCAGUCCCCAGAGACCAUUUCCAAUUAAACCUCACCCCCCAAAUCAUUCAAUGUAACAUUUGCCUUAUUUUUAGAAGAAACAAAUGUUCCCAUAUUAUUCCCAGUUUUUGAGAGAAUCCUGAGGCAGCUCUCUCGGCUGCUACUUGAAGUUGAAUUCUUGAAAAAUCUUAUGUAAACAGAAAGCUUAGGCCAGGUCAGGAGUAAAAUGCAGUCAAAGCUGUUUCUCAUCACACAGGUGAUUACAGGUUAGCUCUGCCCUAUUCAAGACAAUCUGAUCCAUUCCUUUUUUUGACAGCAGUUUAGAGACAAUUGGCCAACAAAACCAGCCUGGCCAACAAGGUGAAACCGUCGCUACUAAAAAUGCAAAACUUAGAUGGGCGUGGUGGCAGCAAGUUACUCAAUCCUACCUCCUCACCCCUUCCGCCCAACCCCCAGCAUCCCUUAGAAGUGACCCCUAGUUUGAGGCUG
rnacentral:lncRNA from 10 species